rnacentral:lncRNA from 1 species
UUCUACUUAUGCUAUCGGAUCCUAGGUUCAUAUACAACUCCUCAUUGGUAAUGGUAUUAAUCAGUCAAAGAAAUCCCAACGCAGUAAAGCCCUUGGGUUCUGUAAGCUGAAGAUCUAAAGAACUGAGCCACUGCACACUUCAUUUACAUUAUUGAGUAGAGUUAUAUCCACACAUCAUCUAAAGUUCUAAACUCAAAGAACAUAUGCUUGACGGGCACAGCUGAGCAAGAGCAGCAUACUGUAACAUAUGCUCAUUAUCAACAUAUGCUACUUUAGUACAUACAAGUUCUUCUGCAACAGCAGCUACAUCUUCGGACUCUUGUUUCUCAGAUGGAAAAGCUUGGCUGUUCUUGCCAUGCAUUGCCUACAAGCCGUUAAAAUCAAUUAGCCCAAUGCAAACGAGCACUGAUAUAUGCAUAAAUGUGGGAGAAACCCUGCGUUGCUCCAUAUAAAAAGUAAAGGAGAAAAUUUAGUCGAUCUAUUCAACCAGAAAGAGAUGCACAGAAAACUACAUCUAUUCAUAAAACAAAAAGGCACAGUUACAGUUAUGCUGUACAUAUCAGGGACAGUUAAUUCAACAUGGAAAAGAUAGACUCUACGGAAAAACAACAAGAAUGAGUAAACACAAGUGAUAUUACGGUCCCUCUAUCUCACCUCCAAAAGUGAAAAGGAAAGUGAGUACAACAAGUUUUACUUUAUAGCACGAAUUUACAUCAUUAUCAUUUGUUUGGAAGAAGAAAUAGCAAGAUCAAGUUUUAGAUUUUUAUCAACUGUUAUUAAUUUCAUGAAAAAGAAAGCAACAGUAUGAAUGGACGACUAAUAGUGGAUGAUCAACAAAGAAGGAUUAAAUAAGAGAAUAGUGUCGAGAGAUACAUAAGCUGAAUGGUAGAUUCAUACCCAUUCACCAGAUCUAGACGCAAUUAACCAUAACCGGAUUAUCUAACGAUUCCAUAUCAUCCUUCUUGCCUGAAAAAAUAGUUUCAUCGGUCAGGUUACAUACAGUAACUUAACAGAUUCAAAGCUAACCCGGAACAAUUUGUACCAUUAUAGACCAUGUCUUGCUCGGUACAUAGUACUUGUGAAAAGAAACACAGACUUGAAAAAUGAAAGAGAAGAUAAUACUUGUGCAUUCCAGAACAUAACAUCACAUGAAAGAUACUGUCUAAAACAGGAACACACAUGCUACAUCUUCUCCCAGCCGGGCAUAAAGGGCGAGAGGAUGAAAGGGGGGCGAGACCGCGAGAGGAUCAAAGGGGGGCGAGGACACAUAGGUGGCAAUGACGUGGUCGAAGGUGUCCGCCAGUACUGAGUAGUCCCACAUGUCAGCCGCCCUUCCCCAUCUCCUCUUUCACAGUUCUCAUAGCUUCCUCCUCUGACCUGUUGCGCCUUUCCCACGAGCGAAGAGGGCGAAAAAUAAAAGGCGCCUCCGCUCCAGUAUCCAACAGUUCAACAGUAAAGCAUAAUUUCAUGAAUAAAUUGGAACGAAAUCAUGGCAAUGGAUCGGAUUUCAGUCAAAAAGGUAGUGGAUGGGAUCCAUCCAUCAAACACGCGCAAUAAUAUUUGCUUGCAAGCCUAUUUUUCCAAAUCAAAUCAUGCAACAAGAGGAAUUCGCUCUGUCUGAUGGAUGAAACAAGAGGCCUUACAAUCCCCGUCGGCUUCAAACCAAAACACAGAAAUUUGAUCCCCACUCGUUCAAUCAAACAUAGGAGAAUUUUGUUCAAUUAUAAUCAAACAGAUCAGAGGAAAUAAGACAAGAAACUUUUGAGAUAUGAGGCCACAAGAUCACCUAUUGUUGAGCAGAUUCUUGAUGGCAAAGCUGAUUGAAUCUUGCAGCGUGCCUCGGCAAACAAUCCAUAGCCUUGCUCGGUGCGACGCCGUCGGGCCCGGCGCUCCGAGGCGUGGCCAAAUCCCGCUCGCGCCAGCAAGCCGCUGGCGAACGCUUUGGAUUCCCUAGGCAUCGCCACGGCAACAACACAGGAGCACGACGCAAGAGGGAGCGACGGCGCCGGCGAUGCCGACGGUCAGGAAGAACGGCGGACACGAUAGGGAGCAAUGGCGUACGGGACGGCUGGUGGAGGUAGAUGGUGAGGCUCCCCAUUGACGGCGGCAUAUGAAUAUCAGUGUAAAUGGUACAAGCGAUGUGGCUGUUACAUUUAUUUGAUCAUUACGCAGUUCAAGCAUUUUACCUAUGGGGAAAACUGAUGGCAUAUUAAAUAUGUAAAUAUGUACUGUUGAUAUUUUGUGUUCUCCUCUAGUUUUUCCUGUAGCCUUUUCCUCUAUCCCUCUCCCUCUCUCUCUAUAUAUAUUAUAUAUUAUAUUAUGUUAUGUUAUGCUGUAACUUUCUACAGGUCGAUAUGUUUAGCUGAUUAUUUUACCCAUUGUGCUAUUUCUUAUGCUUGUCAGCUACAAAUGUUCAUGUUCCAAGCAUCCUCUUCGGAAUAUUUUAUACACAGCAUAUUAUGUGUAACAUGCAUCUUUUUCAGUGAACUGAUAUUGUCAGAGAAUCUGUUUCAGAUGGGGCUUCAGAACCUUAUCAAGGAUCACGAGGUGAAGCUUGAAGAAAAAAGACGAGAUUUUGAAUUAGAGCUGGAGAGUGAGAGGAAAUCCUUCGAGGAAAAGCUGAAACAUAGGGAAGCUGAUUUGGUAAAGAAGGAAAAAGAUCUCAGUUCUCGUGAGAACAUAAUAUCUAAAAGGGAGCAAACAUUAAAUGAAAGCAAGAAAAAGCUGGAAGAUUUGCAGAUUGACCAUGAUACCAAUUCGAAAGCUCUGAAGAAGUGGGAGGAGUCACUGAAUACUGAGAAGGAUAGCUUAUCCGAAGAAAAGCUGCAAGUGGACAAUGAACGAAAACAGGCUGAGAUGUACAGAUCAGAUAUUGAAAGGCUGAAAGCCACAAUUGAAGCUGAAAAGAAGAAAAUUUUAGAAGAACAACUUUAACAUCCCACUUAGUACACAUUUCAAGUAAUGGCAUGAACUUAC